rnacentral:lncRNA from 1 species
UUAAUUUGUAUUUCUUAUGUUCAUCGCAGCUUAUUUUACAAAAUAAUGAUGGAAAUAAAGAAAUUCAAAUAUUUCAAAACUCUAACUGAUGAAACCCUUUACCCUAAACUGAAGUCCUAUACCCUAAAUCCAAACCGUAUACUUUAAAUCCAAAAUAUAUAUCCCUAGACCCUUAACUCUAAACCUUAAAUCCAAACCCUAUACACUAAACCAAAGUCCUAUACCAUAAAUCCAAACCGUAUACUUUCAAUCCAAAUUCUAGACCCUAAACCCAAACCGUUAAUUUUAAAUCCAAAUGUAUAUAUACUAAACCAAAUCCUAAACCCUAAUCCCAAAUCGUAUACCAUAAACCCAAA